UGUGUGUUAGUGGAAGCGUCUGGAAAGGCGCGCGAUACAGGGUGACAGCCCCGUACACAAAAAUGCACAUGCUGUGAGCUCGAUGAGUAGGGCGGGACACGUGGUAUCCUGUCUGAAUAUGGGGGGACCAUCCUCCAAGGCUAAAUACUCCUGACUGACCGAUAGUGAACCAGUACCGUGAGGGAAAGGCGAAAAGAACCCCGGCGAGGGGAGUGAAAAAGAACCUGAAACCGUGUACGUACAAGCAGUGGGAGCACGCUUAGGCGUGUGACUGCGUACCUUUUGUAUAAUGGGUCAGCGACUUAUAUUCUGUAGCAAGGUUAACCGAAUAGGGGAGCCGAAGGGAAACCGAGUCUUAACUGGGCGUUAAGUUGCAGGGUAUAGACCCGAAACCCGGUGAUCUAGCCAUGGGCAGGUUGAAGGUUGGGUAACACUAACUGGAGGACCGAACCGACUAAUGUUGAAAAAUUAGCGGAUGACUUGUGGCUGGGGGUGAAAGGCCAAUCAAACCGGGAGAUAGCUGGUUCUCCCCGAAAGCUAUUUAGGUAGCGCCUCGUGAAUUCAUCUCCGGGGGUAGAGCACUGUUUCGGCAAGGGGGUCAUCCCGACUUACCAACCCGAUGCAAACUGCGAAUACCGGAGAAUGUUAUCACGGGAGACACACGGCGGGUGCUAACGUCCGUCGUGAAGAGGGAAACAACCCAGACCGCCAGCUAAGGUCCCAAAGUCAUGGUUAAGUGGGAAACGAUGUGGGAAGGCCCAGACAGCCAGGAUGUUGGCUUAGAAGCAGCCAUCAUUUAAAGAAAGCGUAAUAGCUCACUGGUCGAGUCGGCCUGCGCGGAAGAUGUAACGGGGCUAAACCAUGCACCGAAGCUGCGGCAGCGACACUAUGUGUUGUUGGGUAGGGGAGCGUUCUGUAAGCCUG
rnacentral:rRNA from 1 species